UACGAAGGGGGCUAGCGUUGCUCGGAAUCACUGGGCGUAAAGCGCACGUAGGCGGCUUCUUAAGUCAGGGGUGAAAUCCUGGAGCUCAACUCCAGAACUGCCUUUGAUACUGAGAAGCUUGAGUCCGGGAGAGGUGAGUGGAACUGCGAGUGUAGAGGUGAAAUUCGUAGAUAUUCGCAAGAACACCAGUGGCGAAGGCGGCUCACUGGCCCGGUACUGACGCUGAGGUGCGAAGGCGUGGGGAGCAAACAGG
rnacentral:rRNA from 1 species